UACGUAGGGUGCGAGCGUUGUCCGGAAUUAUUGGGCGUAAAGAGCUUGUAGGCGGUUUGUCGCGUCUGCUGUGAAAAUCCGGGGCUCAACCCCGGACUUGCAGUGGGUACGGGCAGACUAGAGUGUGGUAGGGGAGACUGGAAUUCCUGGUGUAGCGGUGAAAUGCGCAGAUAUCAGGAGGAACACCGAUGGCGAAGGCAGGUCUCUGGGCCACUACUGACGCUCAGGCGCGACAGCGUGGGGAGCGAACAGG
rnacentral:rRNA from 1 species